ensembl:lncRNA
CUCUUUGAAAGCUUGCCAGACAGUGCCACCUCUACCUUCGCUUUGUCCCACCCCGGGCUGCAGCCACCCGCAGCAGGGGCAUGGGGAGAAGGGGUCACCCAGAGGCACCUCUGUCCUACAGCCCCCCAUGGCUGGGAUGUCCCCACUGAGGUCACCUCAAUCUGAGAUCCUCCAAAGGACACCUCUUUCUCCAGCCCCUCCAGCCCUGUUAGUUGUGCGCUGAUGUCUGGAUUGAAGAUACGGGCUUCACCCCACCGAGGCAGAAAACACUGAUGGAAAGAGAGAUCAGGAUCAGCUCUACCAAUCCCAGGUUGCUCUGUAAAUCAGAAGAGGAUCGUACUCGGCUCCGUUUUUGCAAAUAGGAAACCUGGAGCGGAGAUGAGGAGACUGAAGAGGAAGCAGCCAGCAAGAUAACCCAGGGGAGUGUGAGGAGCCAUCCAGCUCACACAACCCCUGUGGUCUCACCAGCUCUGCUCUCAACAACAGCUCAGCUGCAUGUUUGACAGCACCUGGCCAACAGUGAAGCCUUGACUCCUCUCCUCAUGAGAAAAAUGCUCUGUGUGCAGAGAAGUGGUGAAAAAGGAUCUUCCUGGUGCGCUCACCCUCUCCAUCUGCCGGGGCUGUGCCAGGCAGAGCUGCUGACAGAUGCAGGCAGUACCAAGCCCUUCUCCUGCACGGACUGGCUGCCCUUGGCUCUCACACCCACCGAAGCCAUUAGCAAUGAGCUCAACCUUCUGUUAUUGCUGAUCCAGGGAGUCUGGAGGCUCUCGGAAGUGCAGCAUCGAUUUGCGCCUCUCACGCGUUCCUCUCAGGGCUUCGGUUUCAGGAAAUAUCUUUGCCUCUCCUCUCUCCUUCACAGUCUCCAGGAAUGAUCUUCCAGAGGGACGCUGGAGCUGGGAGCUAAGGGAAAAACAGCUAGGAGUUUAGUGAGAGGAAUGAGGGCUUAGCAAGGCCUCAGCUUUGGCUGCCUGUGUGCUUUAUUCAUCCUCCUCAUUGUGGGGAGGACACCUUCCCCCCAGACAGUCCGUGCCUUGCUAAGCCAGGAAAAGCCACAGUGGGAAUUUCAGGAAUGCAAAGCGAGCCACAAUCUCACAGGGAGAUGUGGUGUGGAUGAGGGGUGGGAAACACCUCACAUAGCAGCUUAACGGCAAGGACUGCUGGUCUCUGCUCAUCCAUGGCAUGGCCAUGUAAAGGCGAUGUGCCCAGGGCAAUGCCUUCUCCUCCUGGCAGAGCUGCCAGCAUGGCUUGUGCCGACCAGUAAACAGGAGACAGCGUUGCUGUGCAAACUCAGAUAAGGCUGUCUGUCUGCCAGGGAGUGUUCACUGCUGGUAAUGAUCAACUCAGCAGCAUCCUGGUACCCUUGAAAGAAAAUCCUGCUGAGGGCAGGGGCAGGCAGAGGGCAGAAGAGAUGCUUCUAAUUUUUAUUCUACCUGGGCAAGGAGGGCAGACGUGAUUUUUUCUUUUGUGUCAUUGUAUGCACGUAAGGAGCCAAGGGCCCUAUUGUGUUGCAUCUUUUCUAUAGAAAUGGAUCACAAGACAGCCCCAACAUCAGUGUUAAAACCUUGCACAAGCAGCCAGGCAGCACCACGAGGACCAACAAGGCAGUCAAAAAAGAGCUACAGCCAAAACCACAUCACCUCCUCGAGUCUCCUUUCCUGGGUAGGAAAGGUUUGCUGCCCAGCCCAGCACCUUAUCAAACGGGCUGCCUCACUCCCCCCGCAUCCCCAGAAAGACUUUCAGGUCCCUGGGUACACUUCACAAAUGAGCCAUCACAAACGUGAGUGUUGGUGCCAGCUGCCAGAAGCAGAGAUCAAGCUCUCACCUACGUCCAUCAGCUCUGCCUGGGAAGCAGGCUUGCCUUUGACAACAGGCAGAUUAAGAAGCAGACAAACAAGUGCUUGGUGCCCUGAACAGGCAGGCUGUGCUGCUUGCAGCCAUUGGGAAGUGGAGAUGUCCAAGUGGUGAUGAAUUCAACCAUGGCACCACUGGACUCCUGCCCACCUGAGGGACGUGUCCUGGACAAAGCUGGUUUACCCUCAUCUCACCCUCUUGCAUUUCACACAGCAGCAUAUUACUGCAUGCAGGGGACGGGAUUGAGCUGACUCCUUGCACUUACUGCCCUUACAGCUAUGAGAGUCAGAGGAGAAAGAGGACAGAUCACCUUCCACUGCUAACACUGAAAAGUAGACACGAAACAAACCCAGCCUUCAUUGACAGCAUUUACUGCAGAAAUCAACACUUCCUAUACAUAAAAAAAUCAAUGGAAUGUAACUUACCAAAUAAAUCCCCAUUGGACCUGGACCAGGACAAAACCGCCUGCAUCAAGAGGGCCUCACAUGGCCAAAUCCCGACGCUGCCAUCCCUCUCCAAAGCCUCACUUUGUCCCCACCAGGACCACCACCCCAGCUACAAACAGGGUUCCUGCUUGGGAAUAGCUGUCUCAGAGACCAUCCUGCCGCGCCCGCAGGAGCGCACAGCUCUUCUGAUGGCCAUCAGAUGGUGCCAUUGAGUCUUCUUCGGAGGCAAAGCCCCGACGACAGCGAGCUUGGAGCAGGGAGCGCUCAUGUUCCUUGCUGCAGCACACAGGAAGGGAACGGAGCUGGAUUGCCCACCUCCAGAUAAAACCAGAUAAAGAGAUUCCUAGCGUAGGAGCUGGCAAGGAAAGGCGCGUUUGUGCUUUCUGUUGUUUCCAAAGAUGUGAGCAAGCUUCUGUGUCACCACCUGUGGGUUUUGCACCGGUCUUGCAAGGUUGGCUAUAUUCCUGCAGUGAUGUCAGCGUAGGAGAAGGCGACAGCAGCGUAGGAGCAUUUCAGCCUCAGUUUCCUCAAAACAAGGUGUGUUCUCCGCUGGAAAGUGUUAGAAAAAAAGGAACUUAGAUCAAUCAGGGGCAGAAAUGAAAGAGCAGCCGUGUUAGCAAAAGCUCCUUUUUGAGCACUGCGGGACAGCAGAUGCUUUCAGACAGCCCCAGAGAGCUCUCGCUUGGGAGUGACCUCCCCUCCACAUCCCCAUGCUUCUUCCCCUUUUAUUUUUAGCACAAAGCACGAAGCAAGAGGCUUGCACUUCAAGGCACGCCGUUUGCAAUGCUCUCAUCACAUUUGCCUUCUCUCCUUCAGAUAUGGGACCAGAACUUCCCAUGCUUUUGAGCUACUAACUCCCUUUGCGGGUUUUGUUUGUUUGUUUGUUUGUGUUUUGCUUUGUUUUGCAGUGGAUAAAGCCUGCCAUCCAACUGAGGUCCUCAUUGCAAAGAGGCAUGAAUAAUAACCGGCCACAUUUCAUUCCUGUUCUUCUUUGGAUUUUAAUUGCGUGAGAUGAGAGGGGAGAAAAAUGGUAGCAAGCAGAGGAAGCCCGAGAAGGAGAGAGAGGAGGAAUCAUCACUAUUGCAUUUCGUCAGCGAUAAGAAUGGCUGCUGAGCUGGAGUGAGUGGUUUCCAAGUGCAGCGGGAGCCAGCUUCAAUUUCACAGCAUAAUCUUUCCUGUGGCCUUAAAAUAACUUCUCCCUGCCCCCAGGGUAUCACAGGAGCUGCAGAGCCGUGCAUGUCCCUUCCCUGCACGGCUCCGCGUUCAGCGCUUGCCUUAUCUGUGGCUGGGGGCUGUUUGGAGAGCGCUGGCAUCGCAUGUGUCACACGGAGGCACAGAGCCCUGGAACAGAAAGGGGACAUUUUUCAGACCCGUGGUCUCCCCAGGAGGGCAGCAGGCUGGGCAGAGCUGACUGUUUGAGCUCCUCUUUGGUGCCAGCAAAAGAGCAGCUUCCCCGAAGUGCUCCGCAGAGACGGGACCUCUUUAUUGUCGGGGCUAAUUGCUCAUGUGAGAUGUACUUACAGAGGCGGCUGUUUGUGCAGAGAGGGAUAGACAAACAGACUCCUGUUCUGCCAGGCACCCUUUGUAAUCAGAGGGGGCUGGGAGUACUUUAGUGCAGUCAUGGCAGACCUCAUUUGCACCGCCAGCACCGAUCCUGCACUGGCUUGGAUGAUGGUUGGGGGUGCUGAGCUCCAUCCCAUUGCCCAGCUCAUCAGGAGUGACAGUUCAGAGCAAUUCCCCCUCCCUGGAUGUAUUCAGGGCCAGCUUGGAUGGGGCCCUGAGCAGCCUGAUGUGGUGGGAGGCAGUCCUGCCCAGGACAAGGGGCUGGAACUGGGUAGGCUUUAAGGCCCCUUUUCAACCGAAGCCAUUCUGUGAUUCUAUGGUUCCCUGCACUCAGCCCACUGCUUGCUCUUGUACAUCUUUGCCCAGCAACCUCGCCGUGCCCAUGACUUGCAAAUCUAACACUGGGUAAAAGCAUCCAGGACUCUGAAAAACAGACCCGCGGACGUUCUUCAGCUUCACAUCUGCUGCCUAUGGUAUAUUUUUUUUAAUCAGGUGGAGGCCUAGGGGGGAUUUUGCCACGUGUGAGGGAGAUCCAGCAUUAGGAAAGUAAUGCAAGCAAUUUCCGGCACUGUCUCCAUCCCCUCGCACAGCCAGUGGGGAUGGUUUCCAAUGAUGUGCCUGCAGGUAGCCCACAGCCCGUCCACACCAAAUGGACAUCCCUCUCCCUGUGUGAAGAUAUACCUCCUGUUUCCCACCUUCUGUGCUUUUCUCUGCCCUGUGACAGGCGGUGGGCUGGGAUAUGCUCAGUGAAGAGCUCAGCAGUAAGAAAAAGCAGCAUCAAGUACAGCGAGCUGUAGCAAAACUGAUACGUCAACCCUGAUACCUUUUGUUCUUCCAGGAAGAGCCAUUAUUCCUCAGUUGGAAGAAUAGAGAGACCUACCUAAUUCUGAGCACUCCCAAGCCAUGAAUGUUUCAGGGCAUUUACAUGUCAGCUCCCACAAGACAUUUGAUGUAGAGGGAAGCGUUCCUUUUCCCAGAUGAGGUAACGGAGGCACGAGGAAGGUAUUGCUCAAUAAUACUUAAUUAGUGGGGAAACAACAUAGAAAACAAUCACCACUGGCCUCGUGCUUUAACGUGCACUCAUAAGUUGUGCUGUAAAAGAGGAAAUGUCCAAUCUUUCUGUCUUCCCGUGGCCAGGAGAUGGAGAAAAAGCUUACCCAGAGAUUUUCUUUGUUCAGCAUCUCUGGAAAUGCAGACACCCAGGCACAGAUUUUCAGUACCCCUUCCUGAAGUUUCAGCACUCUAUAGACAUGUAAAUACAAGCCAUACUUCCCAGCUAGUUGGGCUCUAUAUAAAUGCAUACAUAUAUAUAUAUCAGUCUGGUUUGGUCUUCAGCAGAUUGUCUUGUUGCAAGACUAUAUCUAAAACACGUUACUAUUACUGGCAGCAAUCGAUAUUUAGAACCACUCAUAGUGUUUAUUUAUGAAAAAAAAAAGAAAAAAAUCGAAUGUUCCAACCCAGAAGAGACGUUGUUAUUAAUAUCCAGCAUGAUUAAUGAU